CCCAGACUCCUACGGGAGGCAGCAGUGGGGAAUAUUGGGCAAUGGGCGCAAGCCUGACCCAGCAACGCCGCGUGAAGGAAGAAGGCUUUCGGGUUGUAAACUUCUUUUGUCAGGGACGAAGCAAGUGACGGUACCUGACGAAUAAGCCACGGCUAACUACGUGCCAGCAGCCGCGGUAAUACGUAGGUGGCAAGCGUUAUCCGGAUUUAUUGGGUGUAAAGGGCGUGUAGGCGGGAAUGCAAGUCAGAUGUGAAAACUAUGGGCUCAACCCAUAGCCUGCAUUUGAAACUGUAUUUCUUGAGUGCUGGAGAGGCAAUCGGAAUUCCGUGUGUAGCGGUGAAAUGCGUAGAUAUACGGAGGAACACCAGUGGCGAAGGCGGAUUACUGGACAGUAACUGACGCUGAGGCGCGAAAGCGUGGGGAGCAAACAGGAUUAGAUACCCCAGUACCC
rnacentral:rRNA from 1 species